rnacentral:lncRNA from 1 species
AUCCUCCUGUGUGUGUCACAUCAAGAGCUCAAGAACUCUUCCAUUCUCCCAGGAUGUUGUAGCUGGAGACUAAGGACAGCUUUGCACUCGUGAGACAACUCUGGGAUCUGACCCCAGGACCACCUGCACACCUAAGAAUGGAUUAAAUUACAACACAGACACAUCCACACAGAGCGGCUGCUCUUGGAAGAUGUGUGUGCAUAUACGUGUCUCUCCUUUGCACCCUUCAUGGUUUCACACCAGCCCUGCAGCUACAGAGUUUCCAUUGGCCUGUGAGCAUUGGGAAAGCUCUCUGGCCCAGCAUGUGCACUUCACCUGAUGCUUAUGGAAGACAUACAGCACACAAAUGCACACUAAUAAACAGGAAAACACCUCCUCCAAGAUUGCUCUAGGCCUCAGAGGAUUUGGCGAGAGCUUCGAAGCAGUGCAGGCAGGGCCUUCCUGACAUUGUGGCAUGACUUCUGCUUGCUGCCUUCUCCCAUAAAACAGUGAUUCCUCCGUAGAAAGCACUCAGCAGUGGGACUUGGCAAAGCCUGGAACUCUUACCUGGAAAAGCAUUUCUUCAUCUGGAUUUCUGAUGCCACCUACCUCCAUGAAAUGCCUUUUGUAAGAAAAGCCUCAUUGUGUCCACAAGCAGGAGCUGAACACU